rnacentral:rRNA from 1 species
UCCGUUGGUGAACCAGCGGAGGGAUCAUUACCGAGUUUACAACUCCCAAACCCCUGUGAACAUACCUACUUGUUGCCUCGGCGGAUCAGCCCGCUCCCGGUAAAACGGGACGGCCCGCCAGAGGACCCCUAAACUCUGUUUCUAUAUGUAACUUCUGAGUAAAACCAUAAAUAAAUCAAAACUUUCAACAACGGAUCUCUUGGUUCUGGCAUCGAUGAAGAACGCAGCAAAAUGCGAUAAGUAAUGUGAAUUGCAGAAUUCAGUGAAUCAUCGAAUCUUUGAACGCACAUUGCGCCCGCCAGUAUUCUGGCGGGCAUGCCUGUUCGAGCGUCAUUUCAACCCUCAAGCACAGCUUGGUGUUGGGACUCGCGUUAAUUCGCGUUCCUCAAAUUGAUUGGCGGUCACGUCGAGCUUCCAUAGCGUAGUAGUAAAACCCUCGUUACUGGUAAUCGUCGCGGCCACGCCGUUAAACCCCAACUUCUGAAUGUUGACCUCGGAUCAGGUAGGAAUACCCGCUGAACUUAAGCAUAUCAAUAAGCGGAGGA